UACGAAGGGGGCUAGCGUUGUUCGGAAUUACUGGGCGUAAAGCGCGCGCAGGCGGUCCUUCAAGUCAGAGGUGAAAGCCCAGAGCUCAACUCUGGAACGGCCUUUGAGACUAGAGGACUUGGGUACGGGAGAGGUGAGUGGAAUUCCGAGUGUAGAGGUGAAAUUCGUAGAUAUUCGGAAGAACACCAGUGGCGAAGGCGGCUCACUGGCCCGUUACCGACGCUCAGGCGCGACAGCGUGGGGAGCAAACAGG
rnacentral:rRNA from 1 species